GCCGGGUGUGGUGGCGGACGCCUGUAGUCCCAGCUACUUAGGAGGCUGAGGCAGGAGAAUGGCGUGCACCCGGGAGGUGGAGUGUGCAGUGAGCCGAGAUUGCGCCACUGCACUCCAGCCUGGGUGAUAGAGCGAGACUCCGUCUCAA
rnacentral:SRP_RNA from 1 species